rnacentral:precursor_RNA from 1 species
GGCUUGAGGACCGUAUUCAUGGAAGAGGAUUGAACAGACUACUGAGUUCUUAAGAGAAAAAUGGCACUUAAGAAAUUGAUGGUGAUAUCAAAGGAAGGUUACUUAUUACUCUUGGACUUUGAUGAUGAGGACGAUGACAUAAAAGUUUCAGAGGAGGCUCUUGCGGAAGUAAAGAGCCCAGGAUUUGAUAAAAAUGAGAAUAUAUCGCCUCAAGCAGAAGCAGAUGAAUAUAUGGGAGAUGAAGUAGACAGUAUGUUGGAUAAAUCUGGAGUAAAGAACCCAGCAAUUGGUAAAGAUGAGAAUAUAUCGCCUCAAGUAAAAGGAGAUGAAGACAUGGGAGAUGAAAUUGACAGUAUGUUGGCUACAUCUGGAGGUCUUUUCUCCUGAGAACACGGGACUCCAGCAUCUUCGGAUUCUGCUCUUGGAGAAAACAAGACUAGGCUCUACCUCUGUAGAUCAAGCACGACUGAAAUCCGUGCUCUCAAAAGAUGCUGGGGAGAAAGAGUGCCAUUCUUCACAAAUGCUGAUGUGUGCAGCUGAACAGAGCGUUGAGGAAACGUCAGUGAUUUUAUAACUACUUAUCGUGUUGGGAGAUUGUUGUGAUGAUUGCCUGGACUCUCAGAUGUUACACAGGCUGCAUCAUUGGACUGAAAGUGAAUGGCCCAUGUGUUGCCACUGAUGUGAGCCAUUUGCAAGC